CCUAAUAAUGCAAGUCGAGCGAACAGAUAAGGAGCUUGCUCCUUUGACGUUAGCGGCGGACGGGUGAGUAACACGUGGAUAACCUACCUAUAAGACUGGGAUAACUUCGGGAAACCGGAGCUAAUACCGGAUAACAUAUUGAACCGCAUGGUUCAAUAGUGAAAGGCGGCUUUGCUGUCACUUAUAGAUGGAUCCGCGCCGUAUUAGCUAGUUGGUAAGGUAACGGCUUACCAAGGCAACGAUACGUAGCCGACCUGAGAGGGUGAUCGGCCACACUGGAACUGAGACACGGUCCAGACUCCUACGGGAGGCAGCAGUAGGGAAUCUUCCGCAAUGGGCGAAAGCCUGACGGAGCAACGCCGCGUGAGUGAUGAAGGUCUUCGGAUCGUAAAACUCUGUUAUCAGGGAAGAACAAAUGUGUAAGUAACUGUGCACAUCUUGACGGUACCUGAUCAGAAAGCCAUGGCUAACUACGUGCCAGCAGCCGCGGUAAUACGUAGGUGGCAAGCGUUAUCCGGAAUUAUUGGGCGUAAAGCGCGCGUAGGCGGUUUUUUAAGUCUGAUGUGAAAGCCCACGGCUCAACCGUGGAGGGUCAUUGGAAACUGGAAAACUU
rnacentral:rRNA from 1 species